CCUACGGGGGGCAGCAGUAAGGAAUCUUGGUCAAUGGGCGCGAGCCUGAACCAGCCAAGUAGCGUGAAGGAUGACUGCCCUACGGGUGGUAAACUUCUUUUAUAAAGAAAUAAGGUGGGGCACGUGUGCCUUUUUGAUUGUACUUUAUGAAUAAAGAUCGUCUAACUCCGUGCCAGCAGCCGCGGUAAUACGGAGGAUCCGAGCGUUAUCCGGAUUUAUUGGGUUUAAAGGGAGCGUAGAUGGGUUGUUAAGUCAGUUGUGAAAGUUUGCGGCUCAACCGUAAAAUUGCAAUUGAUACUGGCAGUCUUGAGUACAGUUGAGGUAGGCGGAAUUCGUGGUGUAGCGGUGAAAUGCUUAGAUAUCACGAAGAACUCCGAUUGCGAAGGCAGCUUACUAAACUGCCACUGACAUUGAUGCUCGAAAGUGUGGGUAUCAAACAGGAUUAGAUACCCUUGUAGUC
rnacentral:rRNA from 1 species